CUGUAACAAGCACCCGCCUCUACACCCUCAUUAAACACUAACUCCCAUCUCCUGCCCUGGCACUUGGUGCCAUUCUAGUUCCUGCCUCUGGGGACCUCCUAUGACAGGAAUUCCACAGGAUUUAUCACUGUAACUAGCUUACUUCAGUUAGCAUAUGCCUCAUGGUCCACCCAGGUUACAGCUAUGCCAAGAUUUCAUUUUUUAAGGCUAAAUGAUAUUUCAUGUUGUACAGCUUCCCACUUUUGACUUUCAUGAAUACUGUGGCUAUAAGCACAGUAUGCUCUUCUAUCAUGCUUCUGGAUGUCCACAAAGCUUGUUCUAUCACGGUGAUCCAGGUAUCAACUGGGUCCUCGUAGCACUGGACUCCCUGACUUAUCCUCCAGAUGUGAGUGGACCCUCACAUCUAUGUUCUGGGUUUCACAGUCUCUUUACCACAACAGUCCCCUCCCUGUGACCAGCUGUCCUCACGGAGACUCUGUUCAUAACGUCCCAGAGAAGCAGAAACGAAAUCCACAGGGAAGGCACCGGCUCUAGGACAAAGAACCAUAGCCUAUCACAGCCUGAGUGGAUUUACAGUGUUCUUGUCACUAGAAGGCUCCAGCUAUGAAAGACAGUUGUUGGCAUCGCCUCUUUUGAGAUGCUUUGAUCUGACAGGGCAAACCAGGGAGGGAGGCAGGGCAGCUGGUAUCUGUCACUCUCCUGGACCACAGAGGACUCAGUUCUAUUUUUCUUCACUGGGUUGAAACAUGGCAGUCAGAAGUCUCUCAAGGAGCCUUGAGGACAGGAUGGGGGGAUGUCCCCUUUAGGACUUAGCAGAAGAAAAGGUCAUCUCAGGACCCCUCUGACUGUAUUGCCCACUGGGACAGAAGAGUUCCAGCCAUUCCACCACUGGAUAAAGGUAGACUUGGCCAAGAGAUGAAAGAGGAAAUUUGGAAAACUCUGUGACACUGACCAACAUUUCCUUAGAGGGUCCCUGUGGCUGUGUGCUCCAUGUGGCUGGAAACUGUGGGAUCUCACACCAUCUGUAAGGGCUGGGCUUCCAGCCGCUGCAACACUGCAAAUUCCUGGUGACACAGGAGCCAAAGGCACUUUGUGAACUUCUACUCCCUCACCAGGGGACAACGUGAGUCAGGCCAUACAAAUUCCCAUGAUGUCAGCCACUCUGCUUAACUUCUGGGACUCCUAGGUCCCUGUGCCUUUCUCCCCCUGUCCCCAAGUAGCAAAGCAUAAAUAAACAGAUGGAAAGUUACCUCACAGAUCCCUGGCAAAGCCCUCUGGCCCUGCACAGCCCUGGCUGGGUGAAAGUUUACUUUAGAAGAUUCUGAUGCAAUAGAGAAAGACAGACAAAGGAGGUGGCUGGUCAUGGGCUUUAGCACUGUCUGUUGGGGCUUGGAGGGAAAUGGAUGCAGGAAAGGCCCAGGCUUCAGGUUAGAGUUCAGGUCUCCAGCUCCAUAACUCUGGAAAGAAAGAAAGAAAG
rnacentral:lncRNA from 1 species